AACGAACGCUGGCGGCAGGCUUAACACAUGCAAGUCGAACGCAUCCUUCGGGGUGAGUGGCAGACGGGUGAGUAACGCGUGGGAACGUGCCCUUCAGUUCGGGAUAACCCAGGGAAACCUGGGCUAAUACCGGAUACGUGCGAGAGCAGAAAGAUUUAUCGCUGAAGGAUCGGCCCGCGUCUGAUUAGCUAGUUGGAUGGGUAAUGGCCCACCAAGGCGACGACAAGUAGCUGGUCUGAGAGGAUCAUCAGCCACAUUGGGACUGAGACACGGCCCAAACGCCUACGGGGGGCAGCAGUAGGGAAUGUUGGACAAUGGGCGCAAGCCUGAUCCAGCCAUGCCGCGUGGGUGAUGAAGGCCUUAGGGUUGUAAAACUCUUUCGUCCGGGACGAUAAUGACGGUACCGGAAGAAGAAGCCCCGGCUAACUUCGUGCCAGCCGCCGCGGUAA
rnacentral:rRNA from 1 species